ensembl:lncRNA
ACCAGUACAGCCCAGUGCCAGUCACUGGUGCCCAGUAGAUCCCAGUAGAGCCCAGUCCAGCCCCGUGCCAGUCCCUGGCGCCCCGCGCCCCCGCGGUGCCCACCUGCAGUCGCUGCAGGCGCGCUGGCACUCCUUGCGCUGGUAGCGGGCGAUCAGUGCCCAGAUCAGCAGCCCCAGGAGGCUGAGCAGGAGGAGGGAGCCCAGGAUGGAGCCCACGAUGAUGCCAGCCUGGCGCCCGCCUGCCGUGGGGGCACAGCCUGUCACCGCCGGCCUCGCCGGCUGCCCGGGCGCCCCAGUGCCACCCGGUGCCACCCAGGGCCAGAUUGGAGCCCAGGGCCACCCGGUGCCACCCGGUGCCACCCGGUGCCACCCAGGGCCAGAUUGGAGCCCAGGGACACCCGGUGCCACCCCCAGUGCCACCCAGAGUCACCCGGUGCCACCCGGUGCCACCCGGUGCCACCCAGAGUCACCCGGUGCCACCCCAGGGCCAGAUUGGAGCCCAGGGACACCCGGUGCCACCCCCAGUGCCACCCAGAGUCACCCGGUGCCACCCAGGACCAGAUUGGAGCCCAGGGACACCCGGUGCCACCCCCAGUGCCACCCAGAGUCACCCGGUGCCACCCAGAGCCAUCCCUGGUGACACACAGGACCACCCACGGUGCCACCCCAGGGCCACCCUUGGGACACCCUGGCACCUGAGACAUCCUGGUGCCACCUCAGUGUCCCCCCGGUGUCCCCAAUGUCCCCAAUGUCCCCAGUGUCCCCCAUGUCCCCAAUGUCCCCCGUGUCCCCAAUGUCCCCAAUGUCCCCAAUGUCCCUUGUGUCCCCGAUGCCACUCACGUGGGCUGGGGUUCAGGCUGAGCUGGCACACCCCAAUGUCCCCAAUGUCCCCGGUGUCCCCAAUGCCCCCAAUGUCCCCAAUGUCCCCAAUAUCCCCAGUGUCCCCAGUGUCCCCCAGUGUCCCCAAUGUCCCCAAUGUCCCCAAUGCCCCCAAUGUCCCCCAAUGUCCCCAAUGUCCCCCAAUGUCCCCAGUGUCCCCAGUGUCCCCAAUGUCCCCAAUGCCCCCAAUGUCCCCAGUGUCCCCAAUGUCCCCAGUGUCCCCAAUGUCCCCGGUGUCCCCAGUGCCACUCACGGGGCCCAGGGUUCAGGCUCAGCUGGCACACCGAGUAGCCCACGCGGUUGGUGACCCGGCACUGGUAGGUGCCAGCGUGGGCCACGGUCAGGCUGCGGAUCACGAGGUCACCCGGGGCACGGCCUGGGACAGCACAGGUGGCACUGGCACCUCGGGGCCAGCCGCGCCCCGCCGAGAGCGGGGACAGGGGGACACACAGGGACACACGGACAGGGACACGGGGACACACGGACAGGGACACAGACAUGGGGACACAGAAGGACACAGGGGCAGGGGCACACACGGACAGGGACACACAGGGGGACACAAAGGGACAUGGGGACACGGGGACACACAGACACACACGGACAUGGACAGACACAAGGACACAGGGACAUGUGGACACGGGGACACACGGACAUGGGAACACAUGGAGAGGGACACACAGGGACAGGGACAUGGGGACACAGAGGGACACAGGGACAUGGGGACACACAGGGUGACACAGGGACAAGGACACAGGGACAUGGGGACACACAGGGACACACGGACCCCCCUCCCCCCCACGCACACCCCCAGCCAGGCCCCCCCCCACGAGCCCCCCCUGGGCCGGUGCCCCCAAAUCCCCUCCUGAGGGCCCCACGGAGGGUCCCUCACCCACCUUGGGGGCUCCCCGAGCGCAGGGACCCCCUAAAUCCCCCCUGAGCCCCCCGAAGUCUCUCUGUGUCCCCCGACCCACCUUGCGGGGUGCCCAAGGGCAGGGAGCCCCCCUGAACCCCCCGAACCCCCUCUGUGUCCCCCUGAGCCCCUCGCCCACCUUGCAGGGUGCCCGAGGGCAG